UACGUAGGGUGCGAGCGUUGUCCGGAAUUAUUGGGCGUAAAGAGCUCGUAGGCGGUUUGUCGCGUCUGCUGUGAAAUCCCGAGGCUCAACCUCGGGCCUGCAGUGGGUACGGGCAGACUGGAGUGCGGUAGGGGAGAAUGGAACUCCUGGUGUAGCGGUGGAAUGCGCAGAUAUCAGGAAGAACACCGAUGGCGAAGGCAGUUCUCUGGGCCGUAACUGACGCUGAGGAGCGAAAGCGUGGGGAGCAAACAGG
rnacentral:rRNA from 1 species